CUUAAGCACAACUAAUUAUUUAUGUUCAAUUUUAAUCGUUCGUCUUAUUUAAUUUUUUUUUAUGAUUAGCAUUUUUAUUGCUAUUAGAUGAUAAAACAUGAAUAGUACUUAUACGUGACUUAUGUUUUUUUAAAUUUUUUUCUAAAAAAAUUUAAUUGGAUGAUUAAAGUUGGACAUAGAAACUUAUUACUGCGCUUAAA
rfam:Oryza barthii chromosome 2, whole genome shotgun sequence.